rnacentral:rRNA from 1 species
CCUACGGGCGGCAGCAGUGGGGAAUAUUGGACAAUGGGGGGAACCCUGAUCCAGCCAUGCCGCGUGUGUGAAGAAGGCCCUCGGGUUGUAAAGCACUUUCAGUGAGGAAGAACGCCUGGUGGUUAAUACCCAUCAGGAAAGACAUCACUCACAGAAGAAGCACCGGCUACUCCGUGCCAGCAGCCGCGGUAAUACGGAGGGUGCGAGCGUUAAUCGGAAUUACUGGGCGUAAAGCGCGCGUAGGUGGCUUGAUAAGCCGGUUGUGAAAGCCCCGGGCUCAACCUGGGAACGGCAUCCGGAACUGUCAAGCUAGAGUGCAGGAGAGGAAGGUAGAAUUCCCGGUGUAGCGGUGAAAUGCGUAGAGAUCGGGAGGAAUACCAGUGGCGAAGGCGGCCUUCUGGACUGACACUGACACUGAGGUGCGAAAGCGUGGGGAGCGAACAGGAUUAGAUACCCGAGUAGUC